UACGAAGGGGGCGAGCGUUGUUCGGAUUUACUGGGCGUAAAGGGCGCGCAGGCGGCUCAUUUUGUCAGGCGUGAAAGCCCCGGGCUUAACCUGGGAACUGCGUUUGAUACGGAUGGGCUAGAGUUCGGGAGAGGAGAGUGGAAUUCCCAGUGUAGAGGUGAAAUUCGUAGAUAUUGGGAGGAACACCAGUGGCGAAGGCGGUUGCCUGGAGCUUUGCUGACGCUGAUGCGCGAAAGCGUGGGGAGCGAUCCGG
rnacentral:rRNA from 1 species